UCGUAAUAUACUUUCACAAUAUCAACUAUUAUAAUUUUUACUCUUAUCUAAUUAUAGAUAUUCAGCAUAUAAAGUGUGCUUUGAGAUGCGUUAUUUCAUCCUUGUUGCAUUAUUUGUGGAACAGAGGAAGUAUUGAUUUUUACUGAUUAAAAUUGAAUUUUACUUAAUAAUUUAUUUGUUUAGUUGUUGAGGACAGACCGAUUGCAUUAUUGCCAUUUGAGGUGUUUGAUACCCAACUUAUGGGUUAGCCAUUUUUCAGAGAUAUAUUUGUUGUCUCGGCUUUAUUACUUUUUUGCUCCAAUCUCUCCCUCCCCUCCAUGCCCUUGGAAUUCUGGUUAUCAUGUGCACUGUAAGAAACUUAUUAAGCCAUUACUUUAUUGAAAUGCCAUUGUUUUUACUUGAUUUGUCAUGUUAAAAUUUUGUUUGCGUUAUCUUUAAAGAUGUGCUGGGGCAGGACAUAUACGUGAUGAUAUUGUUUACUACACUAAGGAACUGAAGCAAGUCUGUGAUGGCAAUGAGGAGCAUCAGGCAUACCUAAUUGACAUGGGUGUAAAGGCGUUAAGGAGGUAUUUUUUUCUGAUAACAUUGAGGUCGUACCUUUAUUGUGUUGAUGGAGCUGAGACUACAUUCUCAAGUUGGAUGGAUUCUCGGCCUGAACUGGGCUAUCUCUGUGAUCACCUUAGAAUUGAUAAAUAAUUUCAAAACAAUAACAAUAUUCUUUUAUAUAAAGUUAUUUUCUGCAUGUGAAUAGAUUGUACAAAGUUAUUUUGUCAUGUAUUUCUUGCAUUUAAUUUGCCUGAAAAAUUUACAUUAGUCUUGUUGACAAGGUUACGAUCCAAUCUUCUAAUAAAAAUGUAAUGUCCUGUUUUCGGAUGUCA